rnacentral:rRNA from 1 species
UUGCACGCUGGCGGCAUGCCUUACACAUGCAAGUCGAACGGUAACAGGUCUUCGGAUGCUGACGAGUGGCGAACGGGUGAGUAAUACAUCGGAACGUGCCCAGACGUGGGGGAUAACGAGGCGAAAGCUUUGCUAAUACCGCAUACGAUCUAAGGAUGAAAGCAGGGGACCGCAAGGCCUUGUGCGUUUGGAGCGGCCGAUGGCAGAUUAGGUAGUUGGUGGGAUAAAAGCUUACCAAGCCGACGAUCUGUAGCUGGUCUGAGAGGACGACCAGCCACACUGGGACUGAGACACGGCCCAGACUCCUACGGGAGGCAGCAGUGGGGAAUUUUGGACAAGGGGCGAAAGCCUGAUCCAGCAAUGCCGCGUGCAGGAUGAAGGCCUUCGGGUUGUAAACUGCUUUUGUACGGAACGAAAAGGCUCUGGCUAAUACCUGGGGCACAUGACGGUACCGUAAGAAUAAGCACCGGCUAACUACG